CGGAGGUGAGGGAGGGUCCUCGGCCGUUGCCACCGCCCGCCCAUUUCUCCAGCAACAGGUCCCCGCGGGAGCGGGACGGGCGGGGGCGAAGUGCCGCUCACUGCGCCGAACGUCCCCGAAGUCCCCAGGCCGUCGGUCUGGCCCAGCCCUGACGGCGGUUCCCCGCGCCUCGCACCCCGAAGCUGCUCAGAGCCCCAGCGGGACUCCCCUCCAGGCCUGGCUCGCCCCGCCCGCCCGCGACGUACCCCAUCCCGGGUGGGAUUCAUUCGGCUGCGGCUGCACUUCGCCGCCGGCGCGGCCUGAAACGCGCCGCAGUCAGCCCACGGAAAUUCGCCCGCCGCGCUGCCUGAAAUACACCCCAACGCCCACCUCAAUUGAUGCCCACACCGGGCACAUGGACCCACCCGGGCCGAAAAUCCCCCCACGUAACCCGACCCAACUCCCCCCAAGUCCCACUGAAAUCACCCCAACCCGGCUGAAACGGACUCCCAGCCCUCACUGAAUGUGCCUUCCGUCACUGGCCACCUGCACCCACCGAACGUGACCGAACUCUACCAAACUCUUACACUGCAACACCCUGGGCGUCUGAAACGUGUUUUUAGGACCCAUACUCUAAAUCCCAGCGCUCUCUACGAAAACCUCCGAAGACCCAGGCUGCAUCACAUGCCAGCCACGGACGCAUUCGAACGCCUCGGAUCUCUGCUCCCCUCCUGAUGCGGACCCACCUACCCACACCGCUGCAUCCUUUGGCUCAGGAUUCUGUUUCUGCUCUCUGAGGGAGAAUCCUACCCACUCGGUUUCUGCCCUUUACGGGAGGACCCCACCACUGUCCGUUUCCACCUUUGAGCAUUCCUCUUCCCUUUGAGGCCUGCUUGCUUUGCUUUCUCCUUCCACCUUUAGCAUUAGCACCCGGGGGCUGCGUCUUCAGUUUCCUUGACUCUGCCAUCCAAGCCCUGGCCCUUGCUAAUUUCCCCCCUUCAAUUUCCUUUAAUUCAUGCUUCUGGGUUCUUUCCCCACCAUUUCCCAAGAUUCUGAUGCCUUUUCUUUAUCUCACUACCUAUUUGUUAAUUCGGUUCAUCUCCUAAUGCCUUCACCCUGGUUUCUUCCAGAACCCUGAAGUCCACCAACUAACCUUUCUCAUCCCAUCAACCCCCUCGUGACAACCCAGCACUCACUAAAAUCUCCACGUAUCCCAAAUCUUAAAUUAGUGUCAGUACACAGAAAUUUUCCCUACACUCCGUUAGGGUCUUUUCCCCUGGACCACAGAACUCUUCUUGCCUAGUACUUGCUACCUAUACUUGCAAACACCAGCAAUUUGAUUUACAGGGUGAAUUUAUUACUGUUGUUUACAUUUAAAUGAAGUAAGUAUAUUUGUUGUACUGAUUAAAGGCUGUAUUAUAGAACAUAGAAUAGGACUUAUACCCAAAGGAAGUUUAGUCUUAAUUUGUGAAUGAAAAUAACAAAACAAAUCCUUCUUCUUACAUUUUUGAACAACAGCCAGAAAGAAAGAAAGAAAGAAAGAAAGAAAGAAAGAAAGAAAGAAAGAAAGAAAGAAAGAAAGAACCUGCCAAGAAAGAAUGCCUAUAACUGAAUCAGGUUCCAGUGUAUAUAUUGAAAGAAAAUUUUACUGUUAUUAACUUCUAAGCACUCAAUGAUGUUCAAAUAUUCAUCUCUGGUACAUGAGGACCAAAAAUAAUGUAAACAAAGCCAAGCCACCUAUUAUAGAGUACACGCCAAGAUAUUUCACUUAUUCAACAAAUAUGUGCUAUUUCUCAGGUGCCGGGUACUGUUUUGGGCACUGCAGCGCAAAACAAAGCAGACAAAAUUUGAUGGUGGCAAAGUGCAGGCAUUCAAUUUUGCCCUGUGUUUGAAGAGUUAAUUCAGUGACCAAAUUAAGAAAUGAGUAAAAAGGGGAGAGAAAGUAAUAGGUAAAGAAAAAAUAGUUUGCCACAGAUAUCUGAGACAGAACCCAAGAGGUAAUGAGACAGAGCUGGCCAAUUCAGAUGGCACAUAAAAAGACUCAUCAACAGUGGCAGGUUUAUAGAACAUGACAGAGGAAGCUGUGCCUGGAGCUGAGAAGAGGAAGCAGAGAAGGAAGCAGAGAAAAACAAAGUCUGUGAUAAAAACUGGAAAGGAGCCACAAAAGGCUACAGAAAACAAGGAAGGCCAUUUUUGAACCGGAUCCUGGAGUGACUGAAAAGCCCGAGUGUCAUUUGAGGAUGCAAGUAGUUAUAAUCACACUUUUUUGCAUGUGAGAAAGCAAGCAAGCACUUUAAACCCUGUUGAAUUGGGAUAGCAGGGGAGGGGCCUGUGGUGUGAAUAUUCAUAUUUUCACUUACAUUUUUAUUUUAAUUGCAGUAAAAUCUUGAAAAUGUUAAAGGGACUAAAAAAUUUUAAAUGACAUUCAAUUCACAAUUAUCCUUCUCUAGAAGCUUCUAGAAGAAAAAGAAAAAAAUAGCUAGGUCUUGAAGAGAGGUAUGAUGAACUGUCUUGAAGACAAAAUAUGAGGGCUUUCUAAUAUUAAUAAGUGAUCUAAAAAAUAUCUAGUGAAUGUCUAUUUUGAACCAGGUUGAGGACUAGGGAGACAACUCUGAGCAAGACACAUACAGUUCCUGCCCUUUUAGAACUUACUGUCUUUCAAAGGAGACAGACAAUAAAACAGUAAUCAUAAAGUGUGAUAGUUGCUUUGAUAGGGAAUUUCAGGAUGUAAAGGGCAAAUUUCUUGCCUUCUAUGGAGGUAAAUGACCGAGUGUGUAGGAAACCUAAAUCCCAGAGGAUGUUUAAACUAUAAUCUAAAAGGAAGUAGGAAAGGCAGGGAAAUGAAUAUGAGACGAAAAGAGAUCCAAAGAAUAGGAACACGUUGUGCAAAGGCCCUGGAGUGAGUGAGAGGAAAGCAAUUGAGAAGAAUUAAAAGCCAGCAGAAUAUGGCUGGGGUUCUUAGAGACGUAGUAGUGAGAAGGGAAGCUGGAAAGGUAGGCAAACACCAGAUCAGAGAGGGUUCCUUAAACUGUGGUAAGGAGUUUGCACUUAAUUCUGAGGGAAUGGGAAGCCGCUGAAAUAUUUAUGCGGAGGAGAGAGGUAAUGUUAUUUAACUUUUAGCAAGAGUGCAGUGUGGAAGAUGGUCUAAAAGGGAGGAAAGGUAAAGGUGGAGAAUUCAAUUGAUCAGUUAGUCUCCUGGUUGCCGAUUAUUCAGCAAACCCAUCAAAGGGAAAAGCAAUGCUGAAUGACAGGCUCACCUCUCUGUACUUCCUUUCUCUUUGUGAUUUGGUUCUUGAAAUUCUCACGUGGAAUAAAAAAAAAAAAAGAAAGAAAGAAAGAAAUUCUCACGUGGAAACUUUUUCUUUUUUAAAGUAGGCUCCAUGCCCAGUGUGUAGCCCAACGUGGGGUUCCAACUCCUGACCCUGAGAUCAAGACCUGACCCAAUAUUAAGAGCCAGAUGUUUAACUGACUGAGCCACCCAGGCACCCAUUCUCACUUAGAAACUUUCAGAGCCUUCAGACAGAAAUUUCUUCUCUUCUGCCCAGCUUGUGUAGUUCUCAGAAAGAGGGAUGGUCUUAAAUAAGCAAGUCUGUCAUAGUUGGAGACAGAACACCCAUAGAAGAGAGAAGAUGGAGAAAAUUCUUUCAAGGCAGUCGGUAAAGGGAGCACACCCUGACAAAGGGAGAUUUUUCCAAGACUAGGAAGAGAGAGAGAGACAGCGAGAGAGGGAACAAGCAGGGGGAGUUGGAGAGGGGGAAGCAGGCUUCCUGCUGAGCAGGGAGCCCGAUGCGGGGCUCAAUCCUAGGACCUUGGGAUCCUGACCUGAGCCGAAGGCAGACGCUUAACGACUGAGCCACCCAGGCACCCCAAGGCAUAAAAGUUUUUAGUUUUGAUGAGCACAUUGUCUUGAUGAAAGUUCCUUUGUGAGAGAGCGAGAGAGCACAAGCAAGAGGAGCAGCAGAGGGAGAGGGAGAAGCAGGCUCCCCGCUGGGGAGGGAGCCUGACAUGGGGCUCGAUCCCAGGACCCUGAGAUCAUGACCUGAGCUGAAGGCAGACGCUUAACCAAUUGAGCCACCCGGGCGCCCCAAUGGAGUAGUUUUCUUAAUUUCACAUUUGGAUUGAUUGUAAAUGUAUAGAAAUACAACUGAAUUUUAUGAAUUGAUGUUGUAAUCUACAACCUUGCUAAACUUGUGUAUUAAAUCUAAUAGUUUUUUGGUGGAUUUCUUAGGAUUUUCCACUCAUAAGGUCAUGUUACCUAUGGAUAAAGACAGUUUUACUUCUUUCUUUCCAAUCUGUAUACCUUUUGUUUACUUUUCUUGCCUAAUUGCUCUGGCUAGAACCUCCAGUAUAGCGUUGAAUAGAGAUGCAGAUGGCAGCCAUUGUUGUUUUGUUCCUGAUCUUAGGAAGGAAGCAUUCAAUCCUUCACCAUUAAGUAUGAUGUUUGCUGUGGGGUUUUCAUAUAUGGCUUUUAUUAUGUUGAGAUAGUUUCCUCCUAUUACUAUGGAGAAUGAUCAUUGUGGUUUGUUUUUUAUUCUGUUGAUAAUGUGUAUUGCUUUUAUUAACUUUCAUGUGUUUUUUUUUUUUAAAGAUUUUAUUUACAUAUUUGAGAGAGAGAGCAGAGCCAAAGAGAGAGCACAGCUGGGGAGGGAGGGGCAGUAGGAGAGGGAGAAGCAGGCUCCCCGCUGAGCAGGGAGCCCACCACUGCCGCCACAGGGCUCCAUCCCAGGAUCCUGAGAUCAUGACCUGAGCAGAAGGCAGACGCCCAACUGACUGAGCCACCCAGGCACCCCUGACUUUCAUAUGUUAAACCAAUCUUGCAUUCUGGGAUAAAUCACACUUGGUCAUGGUGUAUGAUACUUUAUAUAUGUUACUGGAUUUGCUAAUAUUUUAUUGAAAAACACAGUAAUACUAUUGGGGAAAGAGAGCAGUUACUUUUAUUUUUUAUUUUUAUUUUUUUAACAUGAAAAUGGAAUAAUUUAUUAACUAAAAUGCUACAAAAAUAAUGCACUCAAUUUUGUAUUUUAUACAAGUACAUUUAAAAAGGAUGAAAUAUUCUUUUUGCAGCCAAAUACCUUCAUGUAAAACUAAUAUAUAUAGCUUUUCCCCCAGAAAUACUUUUUUAAAUACCUUAAGAUACAUUCUAAAACUUAAAAACUUUUAAAUAUUAUUAUUAUUAUUAUUUUAAGUUUUUAUUUUAAUUCCAGUCAGUUAACAUACAGUGUUAUAUUAGUUUCAGGUGUACAAUGUAGUGAUUCAACACUUUCCGUACAGUAUCCUGUGCUCAACACGAUAAGUGCACUCAUCAGAGAGGGCACGAGUUAACUAGGUGAUGGGGAUUAAGAAGAGCAAUUAUUAUUAUUUUUUUAAGAAGAGCAAAUAUUUUUAGAGGAAUCUAGAUUCUGAUUAUUUAAUGCAAAAAAAAAAAUCAGUAUGAGAAAUGGAGAAAGCUAGAAGAAGGAAGAGGAAAAGAUAAUUUUUAAGUCUAAGGCUCCUCCCACCCUUUACUAAAGACAGUAUGUUGCCAAAUGGGGAAUCAUUUAAAAGAGUUAACGUGGUAUCCUCCUUCACUUAAGAAGAUGAUGCAACUGACCUGAUGGUAGUCCAACAUUAGAGUUUGGUUAUUUUGCCUGCAGCAAGAAUGAGUUUUCCUGAGCCCCAUGACUAAUGAGCAGAUCUAUUCCCUGGGCAUGCAAACUACUUCCACUGCCUCCAUUUUGGAAGGCCUUUUACUUGUAGCAGAUGAAUUAUGAAUCCAAUGUCCACAGCAUAAAUGCAUGCUAUCAGGUUGUCAAGUGGAGUGGAGGCUUGGGAGGUAAGGCCAAGGUUUUGACUGCCAAACUGAGGAGUUUUUCUUAAUUUGUUAGGCAGUAGGCAGCCAUUAAAGGUUUUGAGUCAGGAAAUGUCAUGAUUGAAAGUGUGCUUUAAAAAGAUUAAAAUGCCAUUAGUGUGUUGAACGUAAGAGAUUAAAUAAGCAGAUGUGUGUGGGGCGGAGAAUGAAAAGAAGCAUGCAGAAGUAAGGAAGAUUCUUUAAGAUUUGGUGAUUGGAUUUGAUGAUCAAGGAAAGGGAAAGACUUCUAGAUUUUAAGGCUGGAUAAUCCGAAGCCAGGAUUUGACCAGAUGGGAAGAUGAUGACUUUGGCCUUAGAUGGGUUGGUAUUUUACUAGGAAAGUUUGCCUGCAGUCUUCCCCAAUCAUAUCACAUGUGUACAUUGGAAACGAAACGGUUAAAGUUGAUAAACAUUUACAAGGAAAGGACACUGGGGAUAUUUAAUUUGGAAAGUAAAAAGAUUUUACAAAAAGAGGUGAAAGGACCCAUUUAUUUCUCUGAUGACCUAGUUCCUGGCCUUUAACUCAGCAAGCACCUACCCAUGACACCAUAUGCCAGCUGAAGAAAGAAAAAUGCAUUUCAGGAGAAGUGCCCUCAGCACACGCUCCCAUUUUUACCACUGCAUUUCAUUUUCUUUCUUUCUUUCUUUCUUUCUUUCUUUCUUUCUUUCUUUCUUUCUUUCUUUCUUUCUUUCUUUCUUUCUUUCUUUCAAGAUUUUAUUUAUUUAUUUGUGAGAGAGAGAGAGAGAGAGAGCACAAGCAGGGGGAGAGGCAGAGGGAGAGGGAGAAGGAGACUCCCCGCUGAGCAAGGACCUCAAUGCGGGGCUCGAUCCCAGGACCCUGGGAUCCUGACCUGAACUGAAGGCAGACACUCAACCGACUGAGCCACCCAGGCAUCCCUGCAUUUGAUUUUCAUCUCCCUGCUCCUGGGUAGCUGGGUCCAUAUCUUGGUUUGCAAACUGUUCCCUGUACAUGGAGGGCAAGGAGAGACUGACGAAAGAGGCGGACCACUCUGUCACCUCAUACUGAGAGAGCACACACAAGCAGGGCGAGCGGCAGGCAGAGGGAGAGGGAGAAGCAGCUUCCCUGUUGAGCAGAGAGCUUUGUCAUAGACCCCGGGAUCAUGACCUGAACCGAAGGCAGCCGCUUAACCGACUGAGCCACCCAGGCGCCGCUGAACCCCAUGAAUUCAUUUUCCCCAACACACACACACACAAUUUUGCAUGCAUUUUUUUAUGUGCAUUUGAAAGUUGUUCAUGGAUUCCUGUAAGCUGAUCUUUGGUUCUCCAAGGAACUUAAGACUUUGAGUUAAUAAUUACUGCUUUGAAAAUGUACUGAUGUAGAAGAACAAGGUCAAAAGAGCCGCCCUCGCUGUAGAAUGUUGGUAUUGCCAGCAGUAAACUGAUCCGCCUCAGAUGUGGGGCUUUCAGGACCAGCAAGAAGGGCCCCGGAAACCCAAGUCAGACCCAUGAAGAGAUAGGACAACCUCAGGAAAUACUGUGUUCUUUGGAACGAACUUUGGGACAUGCUGAUAAACAGAAAUGACUGAAAACUCGGUAAGAGCUGGACCUCUGCUUGCGUCACUGCUCCAUUCCCCGGAUUUAACUGAUGGUAGACGCUCAGGAAACACCUCCCUCCUCUCAAUGACUGAAGGAUGUCUGCAUGCCAGGAACGUCACUACUCCAGUUAGGACACAUCCUAUGAUGUUUAAAUAUCUCCUGAGGUGGUUUCUGUCAUCCUUGCCCUUGCCUUUCUCCCUUGGCACCUUCUGUACUUUCCCAGUCCUCCUGACUCAUGCCAGGGAAGCCUCCACCUUCUCCACACUACGAAGGCCCAGGGACUUCUAAUUAUGGGUUGACUGGCUGAUUGAGCCCCAGAAGUGCACUGGUCUCCCACGUUUCCCUGUUGGCUCUCACUGGGAGAAUUCCAGACCCUUGGGAAGCACUGGCCUGCCGAAGAGAGGAUCAGUCCACACUACUGCAGGCACUUUCUCCUCCUCAGGAGAUGCCACCACCCAGCCCCAAGGGAGAGGAAACUUUCCUUCACCUCCUUGAAACCCAGACCAACUUUGAUAAAAGUUGUUAAUUUUUAUUAAAGUGUUUGUUAA